rnacentral:rRNA from 1 species
CGGAUAAAAGCUACCCUGGGGAUAACAGGCUUAUCUCCCCCAAGAGUCCACAUCGACGGGGAGGUUUGGCACCUCGAUGUCGGCUCAUCACAUCCUGGGGCUGUAGUAGGUCCCAAGGGUUGGGCUGUUCGCCCAUUAAAGUGGUACGCGAGCUGGGUUCAGAACGUCGUGAGACAGUUCGGUCCCUAUCCGUCGCAGGCGUAGGAAAUUUGAGAAGACCUGUCCUUAGUACGAGAGGACCGGGAUGGACGUACCUCUGGUGUACCAGUUGUCCUGCCAAGGGCAUGGCUGGGUAGCUAUGUACGGAAUGGAUAAGCGCUGAAAGCAUCUAAGCGCGAAGCCAACUUCAAGAUAAGAUUUCCCACCGCAAGGGUAAGACCCCAGAAAGACUAUCUGGUUGAUAGGUCGAAGGUGUAAGUGCAGUAAUGUAUUUAGCUUAUCGAUACUAAUAGGUCGAGGACUUGACCAAU